GAUGAACGCUGGCGGCGUGCCUAAUACAUGCAAGUCGAGCGAACAGACGAGGAGCUUGCUCCUCUGACGUUAGCGGCGGACGGGUGAGUAACACGUGGAUAACCUACCUAUAAGACUGGGAUAACUUCGGGAAACCGGAGCUAAUACCGGAUAAUAUAUUGAACCGCAUGGUUCAAUAGUGAAAGACGGUUUUGCUGUCACUUAUAGAUGGAUCCGCGCCGCAUUAGCUAGUUGGUAAGGUAACGGCUUACCAAGGCAACGAUGCGUAGCCGACCUGAGAGGGUGAUCGGCCAGACUGGAACUGAGACCCGGUACAGACUCCUACGGGAGGCAGCAGUAGGGAAUCUUCAGCAAUGGGCGAAAGCCUGACGGAGCAACGCCGAGUGAGUGAUGAAGGUCUUCGGAUCGUAAAACUCUGUUAUUAGGGAAGAACAAAUGUGUAACUAUGCACGUCUUGACGGUACCUAAUCAGAAAGCCACGGCUAACUACGUG
rnacentral:rRNA from 1 species